rnacentral:rRNA from 1 species
UCCUACGGGGGGCAGCAGUGGGGAAUAUUGCACAAUGGGGGAAACCCUGAUGCAGCGACGCCGCGUGAGUGAGGAAGUAUUUCGGUAUGUAAAGCUCUAUCAGCAGGGAAGAAAAUGACGGUACCCGACCAAGAAGCCCCGGCUAACUACGUGCCAGCAGCCGCGGUAAUACGUAGGGGGCAAGCGUUAUCCGGAUUUACUGGGUGUAAAGGGCGUGUAGGCGGGCAUGCAAGCCAGAAGUGAAAUCUGGGGGCUUAACCCCCAAACUGCUUUUGGAACUGCGUGUCUUGAGUGAUGGAGAGGCA